GACGAACGCUGGCGGCGUGCUUAACACAUGUAAGUCGAACGGAAAGGCCUUUUCGGCGGUACUCGAGUGGCGAACGGGUGAGUAACACGUGGGUGAUCUGCCCUGCACUCUGGGAUAAGCCUGGGAAACUGGGUCUAAUACCGGAUAGGACCGCACUUUAGUGUGUGUGGUGGAAAGUUUUUUCGGUGUAGGAUGAGCCCGCGGCCUAUCAGCUUGUUGGUGGGGUAAUGGCCUACCAAGGCGGCGACGGGUAGCCGGACUGAGAGGUUGGUCGGCCACAUUGGGACUGAGAUACGGCCCAGACUCCUACGGGAGGCAGCAGUGGGGAAGAUUGCACAAUGGGCGCAAGCCUGAUGCAGCGACGCCGCGGGGGGGAUGACGGCCUUCGGGUUGUAAACUCCUUUCGCCAGGGACGAAGCGUUUUGUGACGGUACCUGGAGAAGAAGCACCGGCUAACUACGUG
rnacentral:rRNA from 1 species